GUGUGCUCUUGCAAAACCUCAGUCAGAGCAGAAGGCUGCUGGAGGCUCAAACUUGCAGAAUACAGGUUUGUUACCAGGUUACCCACCUGGUGUUGGUUAUGGUAUGAUGGGGAAUGCCUAUGGUGCUCUUGGAGCAGGAUAUGUUACAGCAGGCUUUGCACAGGUCAGAAGAUAUGACUCAUUGUACACUUAGUAAUCUUAUUUUGAACUACUUGGUCUGGAUGGCUAUCUUCUAUAUAUAUUUUGCUCAUUAACCAUUUUGGAUAUAGCCUUAAUGUGAAAGAGGAUUACCUGACAUCUUUUCUAGUGAAUUUUGAGCUUUGGCUGUGGCUUUAUGAUACAUAUGCAUCAAGAUUAACUGAUCUCCUUUUCAUUCUGGUGAAAUCCAGUUUCUGUGCUAUUAUAAUGGGAUGGUUUUUAUUAUAAGCCUUACAAUUGUAGAUCAUUAUGUUCCAUGUGUCCAACUUUAGGAGAGAAGCUCCUGACUGAAGCCGAUUCUUAUUGGUGUAGCGUAAUUCAGGCACUUGCUAUUUUCACCUCCCAUCUCCUCAUUUUCCUCCCACUCUAGUUUGUUGUUAUUCGGUUUGAGCUUCAAACUUUUGGUCAAUGAGCUAUACAAAAGAUGUAAUUAAAUUUAUGCUAUUGACACCUCAUUAGAAGCUGCAGAAUGCUGGGAUGAUAGAUUCUACUAGUACAAUUCAUUUAUUUGUUUCUUCUUUGUUAAAACUUAAAUUCUGCAGUUUCUAGCUUUCAGCCAAUAUUAAAGUCAUCCCUUAUUUUUUUAGCAGCCGUUGAUCUAUGGAAGUGGACCAUCCCCUGCUGGCAUGGCAAUGAUGCCAAUGCUUCUACCUGAUGGGCAGUUCGGAUAUGUGCUGUAAGCUGACCCGGAGAUCCUUUACCUUUUGAUUUCUUACAUUUUUAUCUCCGAAUGGAGGGUGUGGAAUCUUAUCAAACUCAUC
rnacentral:lncRNA from 1 species